rnacentral:rRNA from 1 species
GGUAGUCCACGCCGUAAACGAUGUCGACUUGGAGGUUGUUCCCUUGAGGAGUGGCUUCCGGAGCUAACGCGUUAAGUCGACCGCCUGGGGAGUACGGCCGCAAGGUUAAAACUCAAAUGAAUUGACGGGGGCCCGCACAAGCGGUGGAGCAUGUGGUUUAAUUCGAUGCAACGCGAAGAACCUUACCUACUCUUGACAUCCACGGAAUUUGGCAGAGAUGCCUUAGUGCCUUCGGGAACCGUGAGACAGGUGCUGCAUGGCUGUCGUCAGCUCGUGUUGUGAAAUGUUGGGUUAAGUCCCGCAACGAGCGCAACCCUUAUCCUUUGUUGCCAGCGAUUCGGUCGGGAACUCAAAGGAGACUGCCGGUGAUAAACCGGAGGAAGGUGGGGAUGACGUCAAGUCAUCAUGGCCCUUACGAGUAGGGCUACACACGUGCUACAAUGGCGCAUACAAAGAGAAGCGACCUCGCGAGAGCAAGCGGACCUCACAAAGUGCGUCGUAGUCCGGAUCGGAGUCUGCAACUCGACUCCGUGAAGUCGGAAUCGCUAGUAAUCGUGGAUCAGAAUGCCACGGUGAAUACGUUCCCGGGCCUUGUACACACCGCCCGUCACACCAUGGGAGUGGGUUGCAAAAGAAGUAGGUAGCUUAACCUUCGGGAGGGCGCUUACCACUUUGUGAUUCAUGACUGGGGUGAAGUCGUAACAAGGUAACC